rnacentral:rRNA from 1 species
CCUACGGGCGCUGCAGUGGGGAAUAUUGGACAAUGGGCGAAAGCCUGAUCCAGCCAUGCCGCGUGUGUGAAGAAGGCCUUCGGGUUGUAAAGCACUUUCAGUGGGGAAGAAAGCCUUGGGGCUAAUACCCUCGAGGAAGGACAUCACCCACAGAAGAAGCACCGGCUAACUCCGUGCCAGCAGCCGCGGUAAUACGGAGGGUGCGAGCGUUAAUCGGAAUUACUGGGCGUAAAGCGCGCGUAGGCGGUCUGAUAAGCCGGUUGUGAAAGCCCCGGGCUCAACCUGGGAACGGCAUCCGGAACUGUCAGGCUAGAGUGCAGGAGAGGAAGGUAGAAUUCCCGGUGUAGCGGUGAAAUGCGUAGAGAUCGGGAGGAAUACCAGUGGCGAAGGCGGCCUUCUGGACUGACACUGACGCUGAGGUGCGAAAGCGUGGGUAGCAAACAGGAUUAGAUACCCGAGUAGUC